rnacentral:tRNA from 1 species
UAAAAGGUAAGCUAAAGUUAAGCUUUUGGAUUCAUACCUCAAAUAUAGAUUUAUUU